UGGGGAAUAUUGCAAAUGGGGGAAACCCUGAUGCAGCGACGCCGCGUGAACGAAGAAGGUAUUCGUAUCGUAAAGUUCUGUCCUAUGGGAAGAUAAUGACAGUACCAUAGAAGAAAGCUCCGGCUAAAUACGUGCCAGCAGCCGCGGUAAUACGUAUGGAGCGAGCGUUGUCCGGAAUUAUUGGGCGUAAAGGGUACGCAGGCGGUUUAAUAAGUCGAAUGUUAAAGAUCGGGGCUCAACCCCGCAAAGCAUUGGAAACUGAUAAACUUGAGUAGUGGAGAGGAAAGUGGAAUUCCUAGUGUAGUGGUGAAAUACGUAGAUAUUAGGAGGAAUACCAGUAGCGAAGGCGACUUUCUGGACACAAACUGACGCUGAGGUACGAAAGCGUGGGGAGCAAACAGG
rnacentral:rRNA from 1 species